AUUGAACGCUGGCGGCAUGCCUUACACAUGCAAGUCGAACGGCAGCACGGGAGCAAUCCUGGUGGCGAGUGGCGAACGGGUGAGUAAUAUAUCGGAACGUGCCCAGUCGUGGGGAUAACGUAGCGAAAGCUACGCUAAUACCGCAUACGAUCUACGGAUGAAAGCGGGGGAUCGCAAGACCUCGCGCGAUUGGAGCGGCCGAUAUCAGAUUAGGUAGUUGGUGAGGUAAAGGCUCACCAAGCCGACGAUCUGUAGCUGGUCUGAGAGGACGACCAGCCACACUGGGACUGAGACACGGCCCAGACUCCUACGGGAGGCAGCAGUGGGGAAUUUUUGGACAAUGGGCGGCAAGCCUGAUCCAGCAAUGCCGCGUGCAGGAUGAAGGCCUCGGUUGGUUAACGU
rnacentral:rRNA from 1 species